rnacentral:rRNA from 1 species
AGAGACGCACUGGGUGUAAAGCGUGCGCAGGCGGUUUUGUAAGACAGAGGUGAAAUCCCCGGGCUCAACCUGGGAACUCCCUUUGUGACUGCAAGGCUGGAGUGCGGCAGAGGGGGAUGGAAUUCCGCGUGUAGCAGUGAAAUGCGUAGAUAUGCGGAGGAACACCGAUGGCGAAUGCAAUCCCCUGGGCCUGCACUGACGCUCAUGCACGAAAGCGUGGGGAGCAAACA